UACGAAGGGGGCUAGCGUUGCUCGGAAUUACUGGGCGUAAAGCGCACGUAGGCGGAUACUUAAGUCAGGGGUGAAAUCCCGGGGCUCAACCCCGGAACUGCCUUUGAUACUGGGUAUCUCGAGUCCGGAAGAGGUGAGUGGAAUUCCGAGUGUAGAGGUGAAAUUCGUAGAUAUUCGGAGGAACACCAGUGGCGAAGGCGGCUCACUGGUCCGGUACUGACGCUGAGGUGCGAAAGCGUGGGGAGCAAACAGG
rnacentral:rRNA from 1 species